rnacentral:rRNA from 1 species
UGGGGAAUUUUGGACAAUGGGCGCAAGCCUGAUCCAGCCAUUCCGCGUGCAGGAUGAAGGCCCUCGGGUUGUAAACUGCUUUUGUACGGAACGAAAAGGCUUUCUCUAAUACAGAGAGCUCAUGACGGUACCGUAAGAAUAAGCACCGGCUAACUACGUGCCAGCAGCCGCGGUAAUACGUAGGGUGCAAGCGUUAAUCGGAAUUACUGGGCGUAAAGCGUGCGCAGGCGGUGAUGUAAGACAGAUGUGAAAUCCCCGGGCUCAACCUGGGAACUGCAUUUGUGACUGCAUCGCUGGAGUGCGGCAGAGGGGGAUGGAAUUCCGCGUGUAGCAGUGAAAUGCGUAGAUAUGCGGAGGAACACCGAUGGCGAAGGCAAUCCCCCGGGCCUGCACUGACGCUCAUGCACGAAAGCGUGGGGAGCAAACAGGAUUAGAUACCCUGGUAGUCCACGCCCUAAACGAUGUCAACUGGUUGUUGGGUCUUCACUGACUCAGUAACGAAGCUAACGCGUGAAGUUGACCGCCUGGGGAGUACGGCCGCAAGGUUGAAACUUAAAUGAAUUGACGGGGUCAUAGCUGUUUCCU